rnacentral:misc_RNA from 1 species
GUGAAUCAUCGAAUCUUUGAACGCACAUUGCGCCUUCUGGUAUUCCAGGAGGCAUGCCCGUUCGAGCGUCAUUAUCACCAAUCAAGCCUGGCUUGGUAUUGGGCGACCGCGGCAGUGCCGCGCGCCUCGAAUCUCUGCCUCUGCCCGCCGGCAUCAAGCGUUGUGAUUACUCAAACCGCUCUGUUGCCCGGCCGCAGCUGGCCAGAAUAUCUUCAAAGGUUGACCUCGGAUCGGGUAGGGAUACCCGCUGAACUUAAGCAUAUCAAUAAGCGGAGGA